rnacentral:rRNA from 1 species
GACAAACGCUGGCGGCGUGCGUAAAACAUGCAAGUCGAACGCUCGGGCUUCGGCCCGGGAGUGGCAGACGGCUGAGGAACGCGUAGGAACCUGCCCUGGAGUGGGGGAUAGCUUGCCGAAAGGUGAGGUAAUACCGCAUACGUUCGGCCUUCGGGCCGAGGAAAGCCUUCGGGUGCUCGAGGAGGGGCCUGCGUCCGAUUAGCUCGUUGGUGGGGUAACGGCCUACCAAGGCGACGAUCGGUAGCUGGUCUGAGAGGAUGACCAGCCAGACUGGGACUGGGACACGGCCCAGACUCCUACGGGAGGCAGCAGUUAGGAAUUUUGGGCAAUGGCCGCAAGGCUGACCCAGCAACGCCGCGUGAGGGAAGAAGGCCUUCGGGUUGUAAACCUCUUUUGUCAGGGACGAUGAUGACGGUACCUGACGAAUAAGCCCCGGCUAACUACGUGCCAGCAGCCGCCGCCGUAA